rnacentral:rRNA from 1 species
UACGAAGGGGGCUAGCGUUGCUCGGAAUCACUGGGCGUAAAGCGCACGUAGGCGGACUCUUAAGUCAGGGGUGAAAUCCUGGAGCUCAACUCCAGAACUGCCUUUGAUACUGGGAGUCUUGAGUUCGGGAGAGGUGAGUGGAACUGCGAGUGUAGAGGUGAAGUUCGUAGAUAUUCGCAAGAACACCAGUGGCGAAGGCGCUCACUGGCCCGAUACUGACGCUGAGGUGCGAAAGCGUGGGGAGCAAACAGG